AGCUUUGCGCAGUGGCAGUAUCGUAGCCAAUGAGGUUUAUCCGAGGCACGAUUAUUGCUAAUUGAAAGAACAGUUUGUCCUUUAGCUAUAGUAAGACUCUUCUUUAUCCCUAGUUUGCUAGAUGCAAACUUCAGCCAUUUUUAUGG